UGUCAUGGAGUUGCUCUCUUUG
rnacentral:miRNA from 2 species